rnacentral:rRNA from 1 species
GACGAACGCUGGCGGCGUGCCUAAUACAUGCAAGUCGAGCAGAUCUGAUGAAGCGCUUGCACUUCUGAUGGUUAGCGGCGGACGGGUGAGUAACACGUAGGCAACCUGCCUGCAAGCCCGGGAUAACAUUCGGAAACGAAUGCUAAGACCGGAUACGCAGCUUGGUCGCAUGACUGAGCUGGGAAAGACGGAGCAAUCUGUCGCUUGUAGAUGGGCCUGCGGCGCAUUAGCUAGUUGGUGAGGUAACGGCCCACCAAGGCGACGAUGCGUAGCCGACCUGAGAGGGUGAACGGCCACACUGGGACUGAGACACGGCCCAGACUCCUACGGGAGGCAGCAGUUGGGAAUCUUCCACAAUGGACGCAAGUCUGAUGGAGCAACGCCGCGUGAGUGAGGAAGGCCUUCGGGUCGUAAAGCUCUGUUGCCAGGGAAGAACGCCUAGGAGAGUAACUGCUCUUAGGGUGACGGUACCUGAGAAGAAAGCCCCGGCUAACUACGUGCCAGCCGCCGCCGUAACAC